AAAGCUUCUGCGCAUGCGCGGUAACGGCGCAGCUGGCGCCCUCUAUGGGCGCUUUGGUUUUGGUUGGAAAACACGAGCCGGGCCGGCCGUCACUCGUGCAUCUCUGUGCCGUCACUGAACUAAGUCGCCUCGCUUUAGCAGCGUACAGAAAUGCCAGCGCACUGUGUGACCUACGGCUGCACGAAUUAUUUUACUCAGAAAGGAAGCACGCAUUUCUACAGGUUCCCGUCCGCGAGGCUACGUGCCGAAAAGAGAGAUGCUUGGGUAGCUGCUGUGAGGAGACAGAAUGCCGACGGUUCGCCGUGGGCGCCCAACAAACAUUCUCGGAUCUGCAGCGCGCAUUUCAUAACAGGACGGCCGUCAAAGUUCAAGAACCAUCCUGACUUCGUCCCCAGUGUGUUCACCUACGUGAGAAGUCGCGGCGAUGCUGCUGUGCGUCGCCAUAGCCGACGAUGCGACCGGUAGCCACGACGAACCAUGCCGUUGUUACAUACACGCCGGACUUCAUGGACGGUGCGCACGCCGCUCUCACCAGACCUAGUUCGUCAUCAGAUGUUUGGAGGUUCAACUUCAAGUGUUUGACGUAUCCUUCUUCCUUGAAGGACCAGCCGCGAUGAGCCUGGCGAACGGUCGAAGUAGCGGAGUGUAGGUACCGCCACACGUCGUCGUUGCUCAGGCUGCAACGCGAAAAAUCCUCGCUCCAUCCCGUUUUCACAAACGCAAACGGGAUGUUUUCUUCUUCUAUCAUGUUGUUUCCGUAAGCAGCGCACGUUUCCGGCAAAGAAACAACACUAAAUCAAUAAAACAAGCGCACGCGAGCCGCCGAACGCUGCCUAGCA